UUACAUCAAUCAAUAUUCAAUAAUUUCUAUCUCUUCGUAUCCAAUUUCUCCGGAGUUUCAACUGAAUUUUUUAAAAAUAUAAAACACAGACAGAAAUGUCAUUAUAAAAUAACAAAUUAUAAUCGAAUUCUCCCAGAAUGUAUUUUCUACGUCAGAGUAUAUUAUGGUAUAAAUUUUUCUCUGUCUCGCAGAAAUUGAAUGAUAAAACAACGAAAGACAAUUGCAGCUGAAAAAUAGUCAUUGUAGAAUUCCUGAGUUGACGACAAUUGAUAGGAUUGAGUGCCAUGAUAUCUUGUAUCGUCCUGAGAUUACGUAUGAAAAAGAUCGAAUAAAUGUGUGCGUAAACGAGUGUGAUACAACAAUCAGUGAAGUUUAUGUUUGAUUUUUAUUGAUGCGGUUGCAGUCACUGUUUGUAUAUUAAAUGGCAUGUUUGUGAAAGCAGUUUGCCAGACAGGCUGACUGUAACUGAGCACUUGGAGAUACCCACAAGAUGCUGCUGCCCACCAUAACGACCACUUGAGCACGUGGAAGCUAGUGUUUUGCCUGAUGGCCUUUCAAGGCGACAGAUGACUCCACUCCAGAGUCAAUUGUUCGUUUUGCAGAACUGGAGUCUGA